GACGAACCGAGCGAACGUUGUUCGGAAUCACUGGGCUUAAAGGGCGCGUAGGCGGGUUCUCAAGUCCGGGGUGAAAUCCCACAGCUCAACUGUGGAACUGCCUCGGAUACUGGGAGUCUCGAGGGUGGCAGGGGUAUGCGGAACUAUCGGUGGAGCGGUGAAAUGCGUUGAUAUCGAUAGGAACUCCGGUGGCGAAGGCGGCAUACUGGUCCACUUCUGACGCUGAGGCGCGAAAGCCAGGGGAGCGAACGGG
rnacentral:rRNA from 1 species